UACGUAGGGUGCAAGCGUUAAUCGGAAUUACUGGGCGUAAAGCGUGCGCAGGCGGUGAUGUAAGACAGAUGUGAAAUCCCCGGGCUCAACCUGGGAACUGCAUUUGUGACUGCAUCGCUGGAGUAUGGCAGAGGGGGGGUAGAAUUCCACGUGUAGCAGUGAAAUGCGUAGAGAUGUGGAGGAAUACCGAUGGCGAAGGCAGCCCCCCUGGGCCAAUACUGACGCUCAUGCACGAAAGCGUGGGGAGCAAACAGGAUUAGAGUACCCUAAGUA
rnacentral:rRNA from 1 species